rnacentral:lncRNA from 1 species
UAUCUUCAGAGAGGAAAAUGAGCACUUGGGAAUAAAUUAGCCUGAAAUAAAUUUAACUUUAUUUAUUUGUGCGGCACUUUUCAGACAAAGAGAUGUAUUUCAAAGUGCCUCACAAAGGCUAAAAACAACAAUUAAACAACAAUAAAACCCAACCCUCCCACACACACACACACACACACAUACACACAAAGUAAGAUAUAUUAUUAAGGAGACAUGUCAUGACACCGUGACAUCACAUGAGGAAAGAGCUACCUUUGGGAAACACUGGAGAUAAAAGAUAAAAAUGGUAAAAAGAAAGAGUAAAACAAGAAAAUAAUAUAAAAUGAACAGAUAAAUUCAGAUUAGAACAGAUAAACGCGUUUAAAAAUGGCUGACAUGGCGGUUCCCAACGUGAAGCCAAACAAUGUUUUCGCUCCCCCUAUAGGAAGUAGAAACACGAUGAAGUAGGCUCGUGGAUAUUUGACACAGAACAUUAUUUAUAUGAUUUUAUCUGCAAUAGUACAGAUUAUUUAGGGUGAUCAUAUUCUGACUUUCCGAAAAGAGGACACGACGACGUGGGGGCGGAGUCACGGAGUCGCAUGGAGUUAAUUUUGAGAAUUUUUCUGGUCGGAUUGAAUGUCUUUUAUGCGCUUCUAACUCAGUAAAUCCACGUGACACAAAAUCCAAACUUAUGUACAAAACAGCAGAUAUUUGAGGGAUUUUAUAAACUUCCCCAGACAAAGCCGGACAGCCCCCAAAAAAGAGGAAAUGUCUGGGUAAAAGAGGACGUAUAGUCACCCUCGCUUCUAUCUGAAAAUAUCUUCGUGCCUUCAGAUGAGGUCCUUUUCCCCGCCCCUUUUGGCUGAAAGCAGUCACUCUGAAUUGACUGGCAGUGAACGGAAACUUAAGUUAAUUGAAUUGCUUAGAAUAAGAAAACUGAAUUAUUUAAUUGUUACUGAGAGUCCAAAUCGAACAGGCGGUAAGACUAACAUAUAAAUCAAGCUUGUACUAAUGGAGCAGGAUUAAAACAGCAGCUCUUAGUCCUCAUCUCAGAGCUCUCAUGUCCUUCAUUACUUUGAUUUUUUUAAUGUUAUUUUCCUCCCUAGAAGUUCGUCUAACAGGCUGUUAAAUUUGUAUCUAAUAAAAUAAUAUAAUUUAGAUGGAUUUUUGCCCAAAAAGGGGGGCGUGGCUAAGUGACAUUUAAUUGCUUUCCUCUAUAUCUAUUUCCUCAUAUUACAGCCAAACUUGUGAUGAUUUUUUGGUGUAGAAUGGUAGGGGAAGGUCCCGCCUCCUUUGCCUCUGAUUGGCUGCGCAAGACGAGUGGGCUGUCAGCUCUGUACAUCGAACAGAACAUUUGUAUCGCAAUACUGGAUCUCUUAACCCUAACCUGACAGACGAUGACGUUUCACAGCCAAAAAGAAGAACCAAUCGGAGCCUGGCACUUCUAGCCAAUCAGAAGCGAAGGAGGGCGGUACCUUCCCCUACUUCCUACGGAAAAAAACAGCGCUAACCGAUCUGCGAAUUUUUUGUUGGAUGGUAGGGGAAUGUCCCGCCCUUCUGAUUGGUUAGAAGUGCUGGGCUCUGAUCGGUUAUGCUGUAUGGCUGUGAAACAUCAUCGUCUGUCGGGUUAGAUUUAGGAGAUUCAGAAUCCCGGUCAUGUUCUCUUCGAUGUACCGAGCCGAUAGCCCGCAUAUGGCCUGAGCGUGUGAUGACGUUUCCAGCUUUUCUAGCCAAUCAGAGGCAAACGAAACCUUACAAAAAAACCUUACCCGGUCUCCCCUAUUUUUUCCUUCAGGGGGACUUCCUCGAAAGUGCUCACUCUGCUAACAGUACAUUAAAACUACAUAAUGACACUCUUUAUCCCUCCUGUUACAGUUAGGGUCUAUACAUCAGCACCAAAUCCGUACACAGCAGUCUCGAGACGACCUCAUUUCCGGCCUUUAUGUUGAAAGUGAAUCGGAGUGUUUAUCUCCUCCUCU